AGGAAUCCUGCGUGAAUCUGCCGGGACCAUCCGGUAAGGCUAAAUACUCCCGUGAGACCGAUAGUGAACGAGUACCGUGAGGGAAAGGUGAAAAGCACCCCUAGCAGGGGAGUGAAACAGUCCCUGAAACCAUGCGCCUACAAGCGGUCGGAGCUGCUUUUGCAGUGACGGCGUGCCUUUUGCAUAAUGAGCCUACGAGUUGCCAUGUCCGGCAAGGCUAAGGGCGAGUACGCCCGCAGCCGCAGUGAAAGCGAGCCUGAACAGGGCGCCGAGUCGGAUGGGGCAGACGCGAAACCAAGUGAUCUACGCAUGGCCAGGCUGAAGUCCCGGUAACACGGGAUGGAGGGCCGCACGGAUAAGCGUUGAAAAGCUUCCCGAUGAGCUGUGCGUAGGAGUGAAAGGCCAAUCAAACUUGGAGAUAGCUCGUACUCCCCGAAAGGCAUUUAGGUGCCGCGUCGGAUGGUCACCGUGAGAGGUAGAGCGACCGAUAGGACAAGAGGGCUUCACCGCCUAUCGAGUCCUGACGAACUCCGAAUGCUCACGGUCUGCAGUCCGGCAGUAAGGGGGCGGGUGCUAAGGUCCGUCCCCGAGAGGAGAAGAAUCCUGACCGUCGUCUAAGGUCCCGAAAUUCUGUCUAAGUUAGUCUAACGAGGUCUGGUCUCAGUGACAGCUAGGAUGUUGGCUUGGAAGCAGCCAUUCAUUCAAAGAGUGCGUAACAGCUCACUGGUCGAGGGUCCUUGCGUGGAUAAUAAUCGGGUAUAAGGCAGAUACCGAAGGCGCGGGAUAGUAAUAAUAAAAGUAUCGGUAGGGGAGCAUUCCAUGUGCGUCGAAUGUUCAUGGUGACGUGAGCUGGAGCGCAUGGAAAAGCAAAUGUAGGUAUAAGUAACGACAAGGAGGGCGAGAACCCCUCCCGCCGCAAGACCAAGGUUUCCCGGGCAAUGCCAGUCAUCCCGGGGUCAGUCGGGUCCUAAGUCUAAGCCGAACGGCGAGGGCGAUGGCAGAAACGGUUAAUAUUCCGUUACUGCCUGUGCGAGCGAUGUGGAGACGGAGAAGUGGAACCGCCGCGGGGUGACGGAAGUCCCCGUUGAAGGGCGUAGGUUAUGAGGUGUGCAGGCAAAUCCGCAUUCCGAGCCGACCCUGACAGUACUCCGGCGCCUGCGGGCAACGGAGAUAGUGCGGGUAAUCAUGCUCCCGAGAAAAUCCGCUAAGCAAUCGCACAGGCACCCGUACCGCAAACGGACACACGUAGUCGGGUAGAAUAUACUAAGGCGUUGAGAGACUCAUGGUUAAGGAACUAGGCAAACUGACCCCGUAACUUCGGGAUAAGGGGUCCUCACGUAGAGUGAGGCGCAGAGAAUAGGUCCAGGCAACUGUUUAACAAAAACACAGGGCUGUGCGAACUCGAAAGAUGAAGUAUACAGCCUGACACCUGCCCGGUGCCGGAAGGUUAAGAGGAGAGCUUAUCGCAAGAGAAGGCUUGAAUUGAAGCCCCGGUAAACGGCGGCCGUAACUAUAACGGUCCUAAGGUAGCGAAAUUCCUUGUCGGGU
rnacentral:rRNA from 1 species